rnacentral:tRNA from 1 species
UAGUUGAAGCCAAAAAGAGGCAUUUCACUGUUAAUGAUAUCAUUGGGUUUAUUCUCUCCCCAACUAAG